rnacentral:rRNA from 1 species
UCUAUAAGACAGUAAGACCCCUGAAAGAGUAUCAGGUAGAUAGGGCAGAGGUGGAAGCACGGUAACGUGUGGAGCUGACUGUUACUAAUCGGUCGAGGGCUUGACCAAA